rnacentral:tRNA from 1 species
GGGUUCAAGUCCCUCUAUCCCUA